GAUGAACGCUAGCGGCAGGCUUAACACAUGCAAGUCGAGGGGCAGCGCGGGAUAGCAAUAUCCUGGCGGCGACCGGCGGAAGGGUGCGUAACGCGUGAGCGACAUGCCCGUUGCCCGGGGACAACCGGUGGAAACGCCGACUAAUCCCCGAUGGGAUACGAUGCUUCAUGGCAUUGUAUUGAAAGUUACGGCGGCGACGGAUUGGCUCGCGUCCGAUUAGCUGGUUGGCGAGGUAACGGCCCACCAAGGCUGCGAUCGGUAGGGGUUCUGAGAGGAAGGCCCCCCACAAUGGGACUGAGACACGGCCCAUACUCCUACGGGAGGCAGCAGUGAGGAAUAUUGGUCAAUGGGCGGAAGCCUGAACCAGCCAUGCCGCGUGCGGGAAGGAGGCCCUAUGGGCUGUGAACCGCUUUUGCCUGGGGGCAAUAAGGGCGUCGCGCACGUCCGAUGAGAGUACCAGGCGAAUAAGCAUCGGCUAACUCCGUG
rnacentral:rRNA from 1 species